AUGGCUGAAUGGGAAAUGAAAUUCCAGCGAUCAGUUGACUAGUAACAAAUAAAACGUCAAUAUGUAGCGGUGUGUACGGUGGGUCGAUGCUGAUGGCUGUACAUGUCAACAAGCGUUUAUAAGACCUGCUUAUCGUUAAUGUAUGCAGGACAACCAAGUCCUCCACAGCCUGUAGAAAUUACAACACUGAGAAACAGGUAGAUCCUGAACAAACAUCACAGGAUAGAAAUUGAUCCCGUACAACAAGUACCUAAUGUGUCGGCAGUACCUGUGUCACCCUAAAUCUGGUUUAUAUGUCCCAUGCCGGGUAGGUAUUCAGCUAUACGGAGAUCGAUAUUAUACAGGCUGACCCGACGACCUAUUCAGAUCAAUAUGUGAUGACCUGACUGUUCACCAGUACAACAUAGCUGUAUGUUUGUUUUAUGCAUCAAGUGAAACUGAUUGAUCAGAAAUGGGUGUAAGACUAAGGACCUUAGCAGACGAACAACAAUGGAGGUUUCUACAGAAGAAAACGGUAAAAGAUCGGCCCUUGGAUAUAGUACAACAUGCGACAUGCUGGCCAUAGCUGUGUUAAGAUGUUCAAGGCUUUGGAAGUAAGCAACCAAAGAUACAUCCAAGAACUAUUCCGACCACCAUGAGAAUUAUUGUAACACCUGAAGGGCAGGUGACCACCAUCAUGGCACAAAUCCUUCAUUCUCAUCUGAAUCGGGCAUCUCAGCAGCUCCAAAGUCAUGCAUCAUCUCCAAACUCUGGGCCAUCUGAUUGGAAGAUUCUGCAUCACCUGACCCUGUUGCAGCCUCCUCAUUGGUUGUUUCCUGUUUUGAAUCAGGUUCUUCAGUGCCUGGCACUGCCACUUUGACAGGCUCUUCCUCUCUUGGUGGUGAUGGACUACUUUCCUUCUUCGGAACAAAAAUGUGAAUGUCAUCAUCGCCCUGUCAAGUAAAAUGUUGCUAAAUUGUACACAGUUCCUGCAGUCUACCAAUUCAACAAUCAAGAAAAUACAUUGAACAGAAAACUGUGCCCACGUCUUUAGACCUUUCCUGACAUCGAAUCUGGAUGGUGUUUGUGUACUUCUGGUACACUACAUGUACAGUAUAUUCCAAUAUGAACAGUUUAGUUUAUAUGUCAAUGGAUUUCAAUACAGUUCAGUUACAGAGAUUAAUAUCACAUGGAAGAACAAAAAAACCUCUUCACCAGAAUUCCCAUUUUGGGAAUCAUUGCAGGACAUCAUGCUUUGUCAUUUCAUGAUCAGCCUACGACUAGAAAACACAUGUACAAUGUCCCAAUAGCUAGCUAUAUAUAUAUAUCUAGUAGUACUGUGAAUUUCAUUGUGUAUGUUUUCUAAGGGUGUGUAAUAACUGAUUUGAUUAAUCAAUACAUUGAUAAAAACAUUGGAAAUAAAAUUAGGUUUAAGACACAUUUAAUUUGUGGAAUUCUCUAAACCUUAUUUGUGUUUGUAGAUAACCAAGACUGUUUCUUAAAUGUAUUGUAAUAUUUCAAUGAACAUCACCAUCCAAUGAUGAAGAGAUAAAAUGGUGACGUCUGUCUAGGGUCAGGUUGACAUUAUACUCGUGUAAGUCUCGGAUCAUAAGUUUCAUUCAUUAUUUGACAUUUGAUAGUCACCCCAUUGAUGCUGUAUGAACCUUUUGUGUACAUGUUAUAUAGCUAUAUACAUUGUAUAUAUAGAUAUAGGGUUGUGUCUUUUUCAUUGGAGAAACAACAACUUAUUAUAUAUAUAAACAAGAGACAUUUUAGCAUUACUAGUAUUGUUCUAUCCGCUUAUAGGCCUUAUUACAAGUGUAAAAGUUGAUAUAUUCAUUACAGAGACCCACAGGUUAUAUAAAAUAUGUCUUAUCAAAUUAGUUUGAAGCUAUAAGACUACAGUUGUACAUUCUGUAUUGGUUACAUUGCUAUAUCCCAGAACUGGUAAUCCUGCAGUGGAAUAAAAUAUAUCAUAAAGAA